rnacentral:tRNA from 1 species
AACUCGGAGAUUAAGAAUGAUACUCUUAAAAAGUAGUUUACUACCCAGUAGGCCUUUAAGUU